UUUUUAUACACCAGUUUAUCUUUUGGAAUGUUAUUGUAAAGCAAGCCACAGAUGUGUGGGUCCUUAACAAAACAAUCCACAUUGAUGAUACCGAGAGUGUUUUGACCGGAAUAAUAGCCAUUGAUGACCGGGAAGCUCUACAGAAUUUUAUUUUGGCUGAAAAAAUCUGCUGGCUAAUACUCUACUUGUCUUAUUUGGAGCCCCACAGUCUGCCAAAACAACGGCACUAAAAGCUACUCUUUCAGUUGUUGGCAAAACAGAUAUUGUACAAGGAAUGACUUUCAAGGCAAUAAUGGAUGCUGUCUGCAAGACACCCAUUCCAUUUGG